CCAAUUUUUUCUUACUUUUUAACCACACAUUCUCUAUCAAUCACUAUUUAAAAAUGCAUUCUUUCACUUAAAAUGGGAAUCAAACAAGGGCAUAAUAUGUUUAGGGAAAAAACCCAAUAUAUUAAAAAGCUAAAAAAUCAUAGUAAAGUCUAAAUUAAUAUAUUGCAGAGAGAACUACACCACUGAACACAAGAAACUAAGUGAUUGUGAAAAAUUACUUCCUAAACAGGCUCUAAGUACCAUUGUUGAAGGUCGAUGUUGGUCUGCUUGCUGAGCAUUCAUUUGGUUGCAGUGCAUGUGGUCCAGGGGCUAAGCUGAGUGGUGACCUUUGAAAAGGGGGCUGUAUUUUUAGCUGGGAUUUCCAGUUCACCCGAUAUAGCUUUUAGUCAUAUUCUCUAUAGCAUGGAUGUGAGACUCUGUUUUCAUAUAUAUGUCACCCAUUGAACCAUUUUUUUACAUUUUCCACUUCACAUGGCAGCACUGCACAACACAUUAACUGCAGAAGUUCAGCGUCUAAAGCUUGCCAACAUGGAGAUCAGGGAUGAGGGAAAAACGUCUAAUUGCACAAGCCAGCAGGGACAGAUGAAGCACCACAUCUUUCAGAUGCAGCCCAAUCAAAUCCAAUGAUUAUCAGUUGCCGCAUCCACUGGCAUGACCCCAGCUUCCGCUUCUCCUACUUCGGCAAAGUCAACUUAUGUCGAGCAGUAGGGGCCAAUCCCGAGUUUAGUUACCUUACUGUUCUUUGAAAUAUUACUGAAGAUUUCACAGUGUUUGAGAUUGUUUUAGUGGAAAGUCUUGUAGAAAGUCUGUUCAUUUUGUUACAUAUAUUUCAAACUACACAGUGAAUAAAUGUUUUGUCCGUUUGACUAGUUUUUAUUACAUAAUGAUGAAGCGCAGUUUUGAAUUUUA
rnacentral:lncRNA from 1 species